rnacentral:lncRNA from 1 species
GCAAGACUCUAUAUUAUUUAUGAUAUUUUACUGAUGUGGCACUAUAUUUAUUGAAGAAAGAGGUAGAAAAAAUAAAACUACAAGUCUUACUUAGACUCCAAGUCUACAUUGCUCGAGGUAAUAAAUAAUUUUAGACUCCAUGAUAGAGUCUGUAUUGUAAGUGCCCUAAGUUCUUCUAGACCAGAUCACCCCAGGCUCCCCUUUCGGUGUUUGGAAUAACCUCAGUUCUGAUAGGCCCUCAACGCCUCGUGUCUUGUGAUUUUGCAGCACGUGGUUCUUCGCCAGUUGAAGAGGGUCCUUAGCUUGCAGUUGCAGCUGGACCUGGAUGGCUCGACUGCUAGAAGAUUCAGGUGUGUAGUACUAGUAUGUGUCUGCUCCUGUAGGACUGUAGGAGGGAGAACGUCAGCUUGUAAAGCAGCGUGUUACCGAUAAUUUCAUUUGAAUCUAUACAGUGUGAUCGAGUGAUAGUACCAUUUUGCCAUCUUAUUUAGGACAUGUUUGGAUCACAUAUUCACUGUUAUUAGGCCCCUUUUGGUAGCUUUUAUUGGGUCUGGCUUCUUGACACAUUCAUGAUUCACACAAGCUAAAACCGGUGGGAGCUUUAGACCCUGUUUAGUUUCCCACCUAAAAUUUUUUUAUCCAUUCCAUCAAAUAUUUAGACACAUACAUGGAAUAUUAAAUAUAGAUAAAAAAUAAAUUAAUUACACAGUUUGGUUGAAAAUCACGAGACGAAUCUUUUAAGCCUAGUUACUCUAUUAUUAGCCUUAAGUGCUACAGUAACCUACAUGUGCUAAUGACAGAUUAAUUAUGUUUAAUACAUUUGUCUUGUAGUUUCACGAGUUAUGUAAUUGUUUUUUUAUUAGUUUCUAAAACCUCUUUCGAUAUUCUUCCGACACAUCCGAUAUAACACAUAAAAAAAUUUCAUCUCCAAUCUAAACAUGACCUACCAAAUGGAGCCUCAACUGAGGUCCUAUUGAUCUUUAGGCCUUGUUUAGUUCACUCCAAAAACCAAAAUCUUUUC